AGGGAAAAGAACACCCGCAAAGCUUAGAAGCAACUCCUUUUCCUCCUACAUGGGAAUAGCUCCCUUAAAAGUAUUCUAGCGUGUAAUUAGGAGGCUGCAAACACUGGGAUGGAAAAAAGUUCUCCGUAAAAAGGAAACGCUCCCAAACCAACGCAAACAGAAGGAACCGGGGAAGGGAGAGAAUGUCUUAGACACAGGUGUGCUAUAGGUGAUGCUUGAAACUAAACUGUAAAAACCUGGCUUCAGCGUGAAGGGGGAUGGAGAAGAGAGAUGGCAGGACGUGGCUUGUCUUGCUUAUGUUAUUGAAAGCAAACAAGCAGUCCCUAAUAAGAAGGGCCAAGAGGAACUGUUGAUGGAAACAGAACGGAACACGAAAUGUUCGCUUCUGCUCGCUUGUUUGAGAAAUAAAGCCUGAUCUUGCUCUCCGUACCACGUGUUCCAAGUCCCCACCAGUGCACAUGGGUAGUGUUUUUCUUCAUGAAUCUUUGGCAGCACCUCUUGACUUGAAAACAAGGAAUACAGACACUGUGUUGCAUUUCCUUCAGGGAGGCUACAGUUGAUAUGUAUAACAAAUCACCACGCGUUUAUCAUUAUGGUAUGAAAAUUCACAAGCUCUACUUUUCAGAAGGGAAAGCUGAAAUACAAAAAUCUGCUACACAGGGGAAAGACAGCUACAACACUAUGAAAAAUUAAGACAAUAACCACCCUGACCACAUUCCUACACGGCAGCCGGAGUGGGACACGCUAGCAUACCAGCAUCUACCCGCAUGCACCAGCAAGCGUAAGACAACUAAGGGAAGGGGGGGAGCUGUUCCAACAAAUGUCAACAGUAUUUUCACAAAAGGCAUCAUCCUAAACUGCAGCUUAGGAAAAUGACACCU